rnacentral:lncRNA from 1 species
GUGCUGAUAAAAGGAUAUGCGGAGGUCAUACCCCAAGAUGAGUUGCAAACAAAAAGUGGCAAAGUGUGGUACAUACCACAUCAUGGGGUCUACCACCCACGCAAAAAGAAGUUACGUGUGGUGUUUGACUGUGCUUCGACGUUUCAUGGAACCUCUCUGAAUAGAGAAUUGCUGCAAGGGCCAGACUUGACCAACAAGCUGAUCGGGGUGAUGUUGAGGUUUCGUCUGGGUCCUAUUGCUCUGAUGACCGACAUCGAAGGCAUGUUCCAUCAGGUGAGAGUGGCAAGAGAAGAUGUGGACUUCUUGCGCUUCCUCUGGUGGCCAGACGGUUACAUUACUAAAGAGCUCAUUGAUCAUAGGAUGACAGUCCACAUCUUUGGAGCUGUAUCGUCACCCAGCUGCGCCACUUUCGCCCUGCUAAAGACAGCAGAGGAUAACCAGCAUGACUACCCAGCUGAGGUUGUGGACACUGUAAGACAGAGUUUUUACGUUGAUGAUUGUCUUAAGGCAGUGAGCUCUGUGGAAAAAGCAGCAUGGCUGUACAGAAACCUCAAAAGUAUGUGCAGCAAAGGAGGCUUCCAUUUGAACAAAUGGAUCAGUAAUCAUCGCUCUAUCCUUGCCAUGAUCCCUGAGGCAGAAAGAGCUAAAGAGGUCAAGACUCUAAAUCUCGACAGGGAUAAACUUCCCAUGGAACGGGCCCUCGGAACUCAGUGGGAUGUCGAAAGUGACGCAUUCACCUUCAGCACAGUGCUGAAACCACAGCCAACAACAAGACGUGGCAUCCUGUCAGUUGUGAGUUCAGUCUAUGACCCUUUAGGGUUCUUGGCACCGGUCGUGCUAUCUGCCAAGCAAAUCCUUCAGGUGUUAUGUAAGGCCAAGCUGGGGUGGGAUGACAAAAUUCCACAAGAACAUGCCGACAGGUGGCAGAGAUGGUUAAGACAAUUGACGCUAUUGGAUGAAUUCUCUGUGAGCAGAUGUAUCACGCCCAAAGGCUUUGGUGAGAUCUCAUCCAUACAGCUGCACCACUUUUGUGACGCAAGUGAAGUUGGCCUAGGAACAGUGUCAUACCUCAGACUCACUAACCGCAAAGAUGAAGUGCACACUGUUUUCAUCAUGGGCAAGGCAAAAGUAGCACCCCUCAAGCAGACCACCAUCCCCAGAAUGGAGCUUGCAGCGGCAGUCUUGGCGGUGCGUAUGGACCGCAUGCUGAAAACAGAGCUGCAAAUUCCAUUGGAGGAAUCGAAGUACUGGACAGACAGUACGUCCGUUUUGAAGUACAUUGCAAGCACAACAGCAAGGUUCAAAACCUUUGUGGCGAACAGAGUUGCCAUCAUACGGACACUGUCCAAAGUCCCUCAAUGGAACUACGUCAGCUCCAAGCUCAAUCCUGCUGACGUAGCUUCACGUGGCAUCCGGACAGACGCCUUUCUUAAGUCCAAAACAUGGAUCCAUGGCCCAGAGUUUCUAAAAACACAUCCAUGCAAAUGGCCAGGGCACGAUGAAGAUCCAG